rnacentral:rRNA from 1 species
AGUGAACGCUGGCGGUAGGCCUAACACAUGCAAGUCGAACGGCAGCACAGGAGAGCUUGCUCUCUGGGUGGCGAGUGGCGGACGGGUGAGGAAUACAUCGGAAUCUACUUUUUCGUGGGGGAUAACGUAGGGAAACUUACGCUAAUACCGCAUACGACCUACGGGUGAAAGCAGGGGAUCUUCGGACCUUGCGCGAUUGAAUGAGCCGAUGUCGGAUUAGCUAGUUGGCGGGGUAAAGGCCCACCAAGGCGACGAUCCGUAGCUGGUCUGGGAGGAUGAUAGGCCACAAUGGAACUGAGACACGGUCCAGACUCCUACGGGAGGCAGCAGUGGGGAAUAUUGGACAAUGGGCGCAAGCCUGAUCCAGCCAUACCGCGUGGGUGAAGAAGGCCUUCGGGUUGUAAAGCCCUUUUGUUGGGAAAGAAAUCCAGCUGGUUAAUACCCGGUUGGGAUGACAGUACCCAAAGAAUAAGCACCGGCUAACUUCGUGCCAGCCGCCGCAGUAA